GCUGGACAUGGUGGCGCAUGCCUCUAGUCCCAGCUACACAGGAAGCUGAGACAGGAGGAUUGCUUGAGUCCAGGAGUUCUGGGCCGUAGUGCUCUAUGCCUAUCGGGUGUCUGCACUAAGUUUGGCAUCACUCCUAGGAGUGGGGGGCCACCAGUUUGCCUAGGGAGAGGUGAACUGGCCUAGGUCGGAAAUGGAGCAGGUCAAAACUCCCGUGCUGAUCAGUAAUGGGAUCGCGCCUGUGAAUAGCCACUGCACUCCAGCAUGGGCAACAUAGCGAGACCAA
rfam:Otolemur garnettii contig139533, whole genome shotgun sequence.